UGACUGUUCUACUAUUUCUAUAUGUAACAAAGUGUGUAAUCAGCCAUUUACUGUAAUUAUUUAACAGAAUCAAAACAACUUCCUUCUGCCCAACCCCUGGGCUUGAACUUUAAAAAAGCCACUGACCAAUCUGAAGAUUCAGUCCAGUUCCAUGCCCCUCCAACCCCCAUGACCACUUCAGGUCACCAAUCUGGAGCAGGCUAUGGAUGCUCAUCAUUGGGGCCUGCUUUUCAGCAUCCUGAAAACUUCUACAGAUUAAUACUGCAGCAUCUGAGGGAGUUGGCCGAAGAACUGAGGGAUGUUAAACAGCAGGUUUCUUUAAACACAGCCAUAUUACAGAGCCUGACAGCUGGAACCAACGUGGACAUGUCCAUCCCACCAGAUGUCAUCCUUCCUCUGGAGGAUAGAAGCAUGCUGGAGGACAUUGAGAGAGAGCUUGCACAAUCUGGAAUUAACAGAGAAAUUAUACCUAAUGCAGUGUGUGAAAUCUGCAUAUCCCUCUCUUUGAAGAGGCCCUUUGAUGAGAUUGAAGACAAGAUGGGGAGACAGGCAAUAACUUUGUCAUUGGCUUAUCAUAAAAGCAUGGAGAUAGCAAUUGGUUAAGUGUGAUUUAGUUUCAGCAAACUAAUCAGACUACUUUCAAUUGUAACAAAACAUCAGAUUCUUAGUUUAACAUACUUUAGUUAACCUGGCAUGCUCCCAACAAAAAGUUGCACUUUCCUGUGUAAAUUACAGAAUUGACAGUUGUUGUUUUUUUUAUUCUACAGGUUGCUUACUUAGCCUCAAGAGGAGGCAAGAACCUAAAGGACUCCGUAAAAAUAAUAUUUCAGAGCCAUUUCACUAACAACCUCGCCAUGGGGAUGAACUGGACAGGGUCGGGACAGAAGGUGUCCUUCAACAACCUCCACCUGAAGAGAGUCAUCCACAGAGCGGUAAGGAAGAACCCUGCAACAAGGGAGACAACCGAAGAGGCUCUCCAGAAAAAAGUGAGCCGAUUCCUAAAGGGGUAUCAGACCGAGAGGGGGGAAGAAGACAGCGCCAGAGGCAGGGGGAGCCCAGAGCAGAAAAUUUAAAAGUUACAAUAAAACAACUUUAAAAAAUAUUUCACUUUGAA